AUGAAGUUAACUUCACAGUGCACUGAAAAUGCAUACUGCGUUGUCCUAACAUGCACGAAUUCAAAGUUUCUAUUGAUUCUAAAUGCUUUUCAUUACUUUGUAGACAAAGUGGGAUGGAAGAUGGAUACAUUCUGUUGCAAGGCUCCAACCCCCUUGAUAUUUGGUCCAGCUUGGCUGGUGCCAAUCUACUUGGCGGUCUUGCUGCUGUUGUGGCAAUGCAAGUUCGACUGGGACUUGAGGAUGGUGCCGACGCUUGUUGAAGAGCUUCCGUCAUGAAAAGAGCUGCUCCGCCAGGAGGCAUUUCAUUGUGUAGACUGUAUCCAUGGCUGUAUUUUGUGCCAAUGGCAAAUUAACUUUGAUUUGAUCUCCCAAAGUCACCAAGAGUCAAGUCAUGUAGGGGGUGUUCCUCUUGGUGUUGUCCUUGGACUCCCUUCUACUACAGUUUCCCCCCAAGUAAAGUACUUUGACAACUGCUGAUGUAAAAAAUGUUUUUGAUAAUGAACUUUUAAAUUGCCACCAAUAAAAAGUAAUCUGAUUGCAGCAUUUGAAUAAAGAAUGAAUGGUCAUCCUUGCACUAUUUUGUGAGGGCAUGGUUGUGUGUUGCACUUACAAUAAGUAUAUAAGUAUAAGUAUAUUUUAC
rnacentral:lncRNA from 1 species